UGCCAUCAGAUGUGCCCAGAUGGGAUUAGCUGGUUGGUGAGGUAACGGCUCACCAAGGCGACGAUCCCUAGCUGGUCUGAGAGGAUGACCAGCCACACUGGAACUGAGACACGGUCCAGACUCCUACGGGAGGCAGCAGUGGGGAAUAUUGCACAAUGGGCGCAAGCCUGAUGCAGCCAUGCCGCGUGUAUGAAGAAGGCCUUCGGGUUGUAAAGUACUUUCAGCGGGGAGGAAGGUGUUGUGGUUAAUAACCGCAGCAAUUGACGUUACCCGCAGAAGAAGCACCGGCUAACUCCGUGCCAGCAGCCGCGGUAAUACGGAGGGUGCAAGCGUUAAUCGGAAUUACUGGGCGUAAAGCGCACGCAGGCGGUCUGUCAAGUCGGAUGUGAAAUCCCCGGGCUCAACCUGGGAACUGCAUUCGAAACUGGCAGGCUUGAGUCUUGUAGAGGGGGGUAGAAUUCCAGGUGUAGCGGUGAAAUGCGUAGAGAUCUGGAGGAAUACCGGUGGCGAAGGCGGCCCCCUGGACAAAGACUGACGCUCAGGUGCGAAAGCGUGGGGAGCAAACAGGAUUAGAUACCCUGGUAGUCCACGCCGUAAACGAUGUCUACUUGGAGGUUGUGCCCUUGAGGCGUGGCUUCCGGAGCUAACGCGUUAAGUAGACCGCCUGGGGAGUACGGCCGCAAGGUUAAAACUCAAAUGAAUUGACGGGGGCCCGCACAAGCGGUGGAGCAUGUGGUUUAAUUCGAUGCAACGCGAAGAACCUUACCUGGUCUUGACAUCCACGGAAGUUUUCAGAGAUGAGAAUGUGCCUUCGGGAACCGUGAGACAGGUGCUGCAUGGCUGUCGUCAGCUCGUGUUGUGAAAUGUUGGGUUAAGUCCCGCAACGAGCGCAACCC
rnacentral:rRNA from 1 species